rnacentral:rRNA from 1 species
AACGUAGGAGACAAACGUUAUCCGGAGUUACUGGGCGUAAAGGGCGUGUAGGUGGUAUCGUAAGUCUGGCGUGAAAUUUCUCGGCUUAACCGAGGCAGGUCGUCGGAUACUGCGAGGCUAGAGGACGGUAGAGGCGUGUGGAAUUCCGGGUGUAGUGGUGAAAUGCGUAGAGAUGGGGGAGAACACUCGUGGCGAAGGCGGCCAGCUAGACCAGUUCUGACACUGGAGGCGCGACAGCGUGGGGAGCAAACAGG